rnacentral:rRNA from 1 species
UUACUGAGUUACCGCUCUAUAACCCUUUGUGAACAUACCUAACCGUUGCUUCGGCGGGCAGGGGAAGCCUCUCGCGGGCCUCCCCUCCCGGCGCCGGCCCCCACCACGGGGACGGGGCGCCCGCCGGAGGAAACCAAACUCUAUUUACACGACGUCUCUUCUGAGUGGCACAAGCAAAUAAUUAAAACUUUUAACAACGGAUCUCUUGGUUCUGGCAUCGAUGAAGAACGCAGCGAAAUGCGAUAAGUAAUGUGAAUUGCAGAAUUCAGUGAAUCAUCGAAUCUUUGAACGCACAUUGCGCUCGCCAGCAUUCUGGCGAGCAUGCCUGUUCGAGCGUCAUUUCAACCCUCAAGCACCGCUUGGUUUUGGGGCCCCACGGCACACGUGGGCCCUUAAAGGUAGUGGCGGACCCUCCCGGAGCCUCCUUUGCGUAGUAACUAACGUCUCGCACUGGGAUCCGGAGGGACUCUUGCCGUAAAACCCCCAAAUUCUUUACAGGUUGACCUCGGAUCAGGUAGGAAUACCCGCUGAACUUAAGCAUAUCAAUAAGCG